UACGGGGGGGGCAAGCGUUGUUCGGAAUUACUGGGCGUAAAGGGCUCGUAGGUGGCCAACUAAGUCAUACGUGAAAUCCCUCGGCUUAACCGGGGAACUGCGUCUGAUACUGGAUGGCUUGAGGUUGGGGAGAGGGAUGCGGAAUUCCAGGUGUAGCGGUGAAAUGCAUAGAUAUCAGGAGGAACACCGGUGGUGUAGACGGCUCUCUGGACCGUAACUGACGCUGAGACACGAAAGCGUGGGUAGCAAACAGG
rnacentral:rRNA from 1 species